rnacentral:lncRNA from 1 species
CCGGCCCUCUCGGCCCGAGGAGCGAUUGAUGCGGGGAGGAGGCGCCUGGCGCUAACAAAAGUCUGCGGCGCUGGAGCGGGCGGAGCGGGGCUGCGAGCGGGCGCGGGGCCGAGCAACAAGUGGCUGCUGCGCGGGCGGGGAGGGGGAGCCCGGCAGUGCCGGCGGGACCCGAGGAGCAGCGGCUCCUCCCCAGCGAGCUGCGGAAGGCGCAUCAGUCCCUGCCGGGGGGCGGAGGUGGAGGCUGCGUCCUGGGAUUGCUGCUGCCCCGUGUGUGGAUUAUAACUGGAGCUGCUGCCCAGCCGUGGUGCCCGCAGCGGGGGCCUGAGGGGGCGAGUGCACUGGGGACUUUCUCUCCCCCCCCCUUUUGGGGUGGCUGCUUAGGGCGGGGCUGGUUCUCCAUGAAGGACCCGAGUGCCUAUAGCAUGUAAAAGCCGAACCUCCGCACCAGCGGGGUCCCCGCCCCGAUCGCCUCCUUUCUGUGCCGGGGAGCCAUGGUGUAUGCUGGCAGCGGGAGAGCAUGAAGCCUGCAGGAUGGGCGCGAACAAUGGCAAACAGUACGGCAGUGAGGGCAAAGGCAGCUCAAGCAUCUCAUCCGACGUGAGUUCAAGUACAGAUCACACACCGACCAAAGCUCAGAAGAAUGCGGCUACCAGUGAAGGUUGUUGUUUUCCCAGUAAACCAUGCCCGAAAGAUCCAAUUCGGUUGUGACUUUGGUGGGUGAGGGAAGAAAGAAUCAACUGUAGUCGGCAAGUCUUAUCUGUCUGCCCUACUCAGGUCAAGUAGUGACUAAUGAGCCUAGCAGAUGUAUCUACUUCUGAAAGCUGUUUUGGAAGCAACCUGAUUAACCAAUUUCUCCCAGGAGAUAAGAUAAUGGGAGAGCAAUACAGCUGAGAAUUGACAACUCAUUACAUAGCAGAAGAAUAUAUUGUUGACCCUGGUCUUGUCGACAUUAGGAUUUGAAUCUGAUCUUUUUGCUUUUUUACUCUGAAGAACAGCAUCCAAGUAGAACUUCCUUCAAACCUUUCAGCUACUGUAAUAAGACACAUGUUGGCCAAGAAUACUUGACACAACUUUGAAUAUAAUGAGCCAGAUUUUGUUCCCAGUUGUGCUUGUGUAAAUCCGGGGUAACGCCAUUGACUUCAGUAGAGUUGCUCUAGAUUUACACUGGUGUCACUGAGAUCAUAAUCUGGCCCAUGACUUCGGUGAACAAGCAGCCUGCCUUUUGUUUGUUCCCUGUUGGGGGUAGGGGUUAUGCCAAGGUUCUUCUCCCCCGCCCCCUCCUUUCACAGCUCUUGAAGGCAUUUAUCUGUAACUAAUUAUGUUAAAUGUGAAUAGAUGGAUUGCAAUGUUUCAGUCUUGCAUUGGAAAAUGAGAAGUACUUUUUUUAGGCAACAGCACCCCCUCAGUCCAUGAUUUAAUGGAUAACAUCCUAGUCUCUUUCCUUGACAAUAGGGCACAGGAUAGCAAUUGUAGUGAUUUGUGUACAAGAUAGUUAGCAGGAGAUGCUCAGUGGCCAAUUUGUCGUGUUUGUUUAUAUCCGGGAUUAUAUGGGAGUGGAAAAAUACAAGUGGGGAAGUGGCAUUAAUACUGUAUACUGCAUAAGGAAGACUACUGGAAUACUGUGUCCAGUUGAGAGCGGGCUGAAAAUUUUUUGACACAGCAAUUUUUGUCUAAAUUGAAAUGUCAAAUUACAUGAAAUUUUCAAUGA